rnacentral:rRNA from 2 species
AGCGCAACGAUGCGUUGAGCUAACCGGUACUAAUGAACCGUGAGGCUUAACCUUACAACGCCGAAG